rnacentral:ncRNA from 2 species
UACAUAUUCAAAAGAGUAGGUUUAAGCGAAUAAGCCUGCAAUAUAAAUAUUAGGAUUGUGGAGUGAAGGGAAUCCGGUCAAAUGCCGGAACUGUGCCCGCAGCUGUAGUUUCCAUCCAAAUCCCAGGAUUAUGCCAUUGUUCGCACAAGAAUGAGAAGGCCCGGGGACGGAAAGAGUCAGAAGACCUGCCCAAUCAAGUCAAACAAA